AGUUGAGAAGCAAUGCUGUUUCACCUCCCUGAGAGAAUUGCCUUGUUUGUGAAAUACUACAGAAAAACCUGUAUUUUCUCCAGAAAAUGAAAGGUCUUGGCCUGAGUAAAUCAAGGCAGAAAACUCACCCCCGUGAAAGCUGCAGCUCUGAGAGUGUGUGGGCAGGGCUUCAACAGAAUACCUGUGGCUGCACUUACAAAAGGCAGCCAGAAGGACCCGUCCAUUCUGGAAAGUACCUUUAGUCUGAAAGCAUUUAUUGCAGAAAAAAUAUGAGGCUUGCUGGUAGUAUUCCCAGGUGACAAAUGUGCACCCAACACCCUACAGAAAAGAAGAACCAUAAAAUAAUUAAUUAUUCCAUUGUAACUCCUGCCUGGAAAACAUCUGAAAGAAGUCACUAGAUUCAGCCCACAUUCAAGAUGAGAAAUACCAGAAGGCAGAGAACACUGAGGCUGUUUUAGAGGCUGUCAACCCCAGGGAGACAGACAGCAAAUAAGUAAGCAAAUAAAUAAAAAUGGAAGGUGAUAAUAAGUGCAAUGAAAAGAAAUGAAGCAGAGUAAAGAAUCAAGAGUAGCAGUUGAGGGGAUGCUUGGAUGUUUUCACACCACUCUGACACAUGGAUGGAAGGUUAGAAGACAACAAAGGAAUGGGCUGGGAAGGACUCCAAAAGCAGAAUCAGAGAUUAUAUCAUUCCUUGGAAAUGGAGAAAAGGAUCAAAAAAGCUGAAUAAAAGGCAAACAUGGAGGAACAGAGUUUGGAGCAAUACCCUGACUUACAUUCAGUACUGUUAAUGGCUCCAGCAUCUUGAAACAAACCAAUUUUGGAUUUUCAGUUUAAUUGUUAUUCUUGAGAAGUCGGCUCUCAGCUGGAAUAUCAUUCCUUUGAAGAACUAAAAUUCAAAACAACAGCUUUAUGUGCAGUAUCCUCUAGGAAAGAGACAAGAAGUGAGGUCAUCUCAAUACUGUCUUAACACAUCUGAUCUGAGGUGUAGACCAUUCAAAAGGCAAAGUGAGCAGUCUAUUCUCACUCCUGGAUUCUUCAUUAAAAUAUUAUAUUCCCAGCAUUUCUGUGUCAAAAGGCGUGGGGAUGAGGAAUCUAUUCUCUGCAACAAAAGCCUAGAUCAACUCUAUCAAUCAUUAAUAAUAGACAAAGGAUCAUGUUAACGAAGGAUAACACAGAACUCUAAGAAGUCACUUGGUGAAUCUCUUCUGAUCCUAAAGAGGACUGGAUGGAGGAACCACCUGGUGGAGUGAGAAGAGAACAGACAUUCAUCUUCUUGCCAGCAACCUUGCCAGUGACCUUGAACAACUGCAUUUUAAAUGAUUGUUUUAAGAAUAAAAUGAGACAGUCCAGGUAAAACAC
ensembl:lncRNA LINC02831 long intergenic non-protein coding RNA 2831